rnacentral:rRNA from 1 species
UGAGGAAUAUUGGUCAAUGGGCGAGAGCCUGAACCAGCCAAGUAGCGUGCAGGAUGACGGCCCUAUGGGUUGUAAACUGCUUUUAUAUGGGAAUAAAGUGAGGGACGUGUCCCUUAUUGCAUGUACCAUACGAAUAAGGACCGGCUAAUUCCGUGCCAGCAGCCGCGGUAAUACGGAAGGUCCAGGCGUUAUCCGGAUUUAUUGGGUUUAAAGGGAGCGUAGGCUGUUUGUUAAGCGUGUUGUGAAAUGUAAGAGCUCAACUUUUAGAUUGCAGCGCGAACUGGCAGACUUGAGUGCGCACAACGUAGGCGGAAUUCAUGGUGUAGCGGUGAAAUGCUUAGAUAUCAUGACGAACUCCGAUUGCGAAGGCAGCUUACGGGAGCGCAACUGACGCUGAAGCUCGAAGGUGCGGGUAUCGAACAGG